rnacentral:rRNA from 1 species
AGAAUCAACGCUGGCGGCGUGCCUAACACAUGCAAGUCGAACGAGAAAGUGGAGCAAUCCAUGAGUAAAGUGGCGCACGGGUGAGUAACACGUGACUAACCUACCUUUUAGUGGGGGAUAACCUAGGGAAACCUGGGCUAAUACCGCAUAACACUUACGAGUCAAAGCAGCAAUGCGCUGAAAGAGGGGGUCGCGGUCGAUUAGUUAGUUGGCAGGGUAAUGGCCUACCAAGACUGUGAUCGAUAUCCGGCCUGAGAGGGCGCACGGACACACUGGAACUGAAACACGGUCCAGACUCCUACGGGAGGCAGCAGUGGGGAAUUUUGCGCAAUGGGGGAAACCCUGACGCAGCAACGCCGCGUGGAGGAUGAAGUCCCUUGGGACGUAAACUCCUUUCGAUCGGGACGAUAAUGACGGUACCGGAAGAAGAAGCCCCGGCUAACUUCGCGCCAGCACGCCGC